rnacentral:piRNA from 1 species
GCAGUGGACUCCGUGAUUCUAG